GCCUUGCUGGAGCAUUGAUCAAUAUAUGCUGUUCACACAAAGGCUUUGCUAAAGCAUUGGCCAGAGUCGGCCUUACUGCAUGAACUCCUCACAUAAAAAAACUUGGCAUGUGGACCAGAUGUGCACUCCUGCCAAGAGAUGGGAGGGAGAGAUGAUGGUACAAGGUAGGAUAGUCCAGUACCAGGAGAACAGAAAUACCCA